AUACGGAGGAUGCGAGCGUUAUCCGGAUUUAUUGGGUUUAAAGGGUGCGUAGGCGGUUUUUUAAGUCAGCGGUGAAAUGCAAGGGCUCAACCCUUGACCUGCCGUUGAAACUGGAGGACUUGAAUGCGGAUGCUGUGGGAGGAAUGUGGGGUGUAGCGGUUAAAUGCAUAGAUAUCACACAGAACAACGAUUGCGAAGGCAUCUCACAAAUCCGUGAUUGACGCUGAGGCACGAAAGUGUGGGGAUCAAACAGGAUUAGAUACCCUGGUAGUCCACACUGUAAACGAUGAUGACUCGCUGUCGGCGAUAUACAGUCGGUGGCCAAGCGAAAGCGAUAAGUCAUCCACCUGGGGAGUACGACCGCAAGGUUGAAACUCAAAGGAAUUGACGGGG
rnacentral:rRNA from 1 species